UACAGAGGUCCCAAGCGUUGUUCGGAUUCAUUGGGCGUAAAGGGUGCGUAGGCGGCGUCGGUAAGUCGGGUGAUGAAACUCUCGGGGCUUAACUCCGAAACUGCAUUCGAUACUGCCGUGCUUGAGGACUGGAGAGGAGACGUGGAAUUUACGGUGUAGCGGUGAAAUGCGUAGAUAUCGAUAAGGAAGACCAGUGGCGAAGGCGGGUCUCUGGGACAGUUCCUGACGCUGAUGAGCGAAAAGCCAGGGGAGGCAAACGGGAUUAGAACUACCGUAGGUCAGUCCAAGA
rnacentral:rRNA from 1 species